GCCCCUGUAGCUCAACGGAUCAGAGCACCGGAUUUCGAUUCCGGGGGUUGGGGGUUCGAGUCCCUCCAGGGGUGCCA
rnacentral:tRNA from 1 species